GAUCAAGUGACUAAGUGCACAU
rnacentral:rRNA from 1 species